UUUAGUCAGGCAACGAGCGAGACCCACGCCCACAGUUGCCAGCGUACUCUCCGGAGUGACGGGUACACUGUGGGGACCGCCGCUGCUAAAGCGGAGGAAGGAAUGGGCAACGGUAGGUCAGUAUGCCCCGAAUAUCCCGGGCUACACGCGAGCUACAAUGGUUGGUACAAUGGGUAUCUACCCCGAAAGGGGAUGGAAAUCUCCUAAAGCCAAUCUUAGUUCGGAUUGAGGGCUGCAACUCGCCCUCAUGAAGCUGGAAUCCGUAGUAAUCGCGUUUCAACAGAACGCGGUGAAUACGUCCCUGCUCCUUGCACA
rnacentral:rRNA from 1 species